GAGUUUGAUCCUGGUUCAGGACGAACGCUGGCGGCGUGCUUAACACAUGCAAGUCGAACGAUGAACCACUUCGGUGGGGAUUAGUGGCGAACGGGUGAGUAACACGUGGGCAAUCUGCCCUUCACUCUGGGACAAGCCCUGGAAACGGGGUCUAAUACCGGAUAUCACUCCCGCAGGCAUCUGUGGGGGUCGAAAGCUCCGGCGGUGAAGGAUGAGCCCGCGGCCUAUCAGCUUGUUGGUGAGGUAAUGGCUCACCAAGGCGACGACGGGUAGCCGGCCUGAGAGGGCGACCGGCCACACUGGGACUGAGACACGGCCCAGACUCCUACGGGAGGCAGCAGUGGGGAAUAUUGCACAAUGGGCGAAAGCCUGAUGCAGCGACGCCGCGUGAGGGAUGACGGCCUUCGGGUUGUAAACCUCUUUCAGCAGGGAAGAAGCGAAAGUGACGGUACCUGCAGAAGAAGCGCCGGCUAACUACGUGCCAGCAG
rnacentral:rRNA from 2 species